UAGAAGCCUCCGUUUCCCUCAUGGAGGAAACAUCUCCAUCUGAAGAAAAUAGCUGUGUAACAGUGCUGCAUUUGAGAGGAUACACUGUUGCGGGACACAAGGGAGGGAAAGUUAAGACCCCGAUUUUAAGCGUCCUGCCAAAACCAUUUAAAGCCUGAAGAACAAUGAGUAGCACAUUUUUGAAUGUGUGGCUAAAACUCGAACAUUCAAAUCCAUCAAUUGGCACAGUUCAUCCAAGAGUCUGGUUCAGGCUGGCAAGCUAAUAGUCCACCCCAGAUCAUCCUGACUAAGCUGAAGACUUUUAAGCAGUGUUUUGAGCCUAAGCAAAAGUUCAGAUGACACAAACACGAAUCACAGGCGGUGCUUCGUAACGCCCAAGAGUGUUAAAGAAAAGAAGAAAUUUCAGCUACUUUUACUCAGUGAGCAUCAAAAUUUCAAGUUACUGAACUGAACUAAAAGAGCUGGACAAACUGCUACAAGCCAACCAAGCAAAAUAAGGAACAAACAGUAAAGGACAAAAAGGCCUUAAAUCUGAAAGAAUGCAAACCAAGUACCCAAGUACGAUGCCAGCGUUCAGUUUUCAUUCUCUACCUCAGCCCCUGCCUCCACCGUUCAGAGCUAGGAACUCAGUCCUUCCCCAGAAAGAAAAAAUUCUCCAGCUCGUUCUGCUUCAGCUGGGUCCUCAGUUCCCGUCUGACACAUAAGGGCAACAUGUCUGGAAAGACUGAUGAUGUAAAUAAAUACAUUGACAUUAUUAAUGAAAUAAAUAUUAAAGAAAAGUAAAACAGA